GUAUUAGAGGCAUUGCCUGCCAGUGACUAAAGUUAAACGGCCGCGGUAUCCUGACCGUGCAAAGGUAGCAUAAUCACUUGUUCCUUAAUUAGGGACUAGAAUGAAUGGCUAAACGAGGGUUCAACUGUCUCUUACUUUCAAUCAGUGAAAUUGACCUUCCAGUGAAGAGGCUGGAAUCUCCCAAUAAGACGAGAAGACCCUAUGGAGCUUUAAUUUACUAGUUCAACUUAUAUAAAAACAACCUAAUGGGCUAAAACAAAAUAAAUAUGAACUAAAAAAUUUCGGUUGGGGUGACCUCGGAGAAUAAAAAAUCCUCCGAAUGAUUUUAACCUAGACUCACAAGUCAAAGUAAUACUAAUAUCUUAUUGACCCAAUUAUUGAUCAACGGACCAAGUUACCCUAGGGAUAACAGCGCAAUCCUAUUUAAGAGUUCAUAUCGACAAUUAGGGUUUACGACCUCGAUGUUGGAUCAGGACAUCCCAAUGGUGCAGAAGCUAUUAAUGGUUCGUUUGUUCAACGAUUAAAGUCCUACGUGAUCUAU
rnacentral:rRNA from 1 species